UGUUCGUACCAAGAACCGACACAGGUGUCCCUAGGUGAGUAGCCUAAGGCGUGUUAGCAUAAUCGUGGCGAGGGAACUCGGCAAAUUAGCCCUGUAACUUCGGGAUAAGGGGUGCCAGUAGUGAGAGCUACUGGUCGCAGUGACAAGAGAACACCGACUGUUUAAUAAAAACAUAGGUCUCUGCUAGUUCGAAAGGAUGUGUAUAGAGGCCGAAGCCUGCCCAGUGUCGGCAUCUGAAAAUCUGUUCCAACGGAUCGAAGGACCGAUAAACGGCGGGGGUAACUAUGACCCUCUUAAGGUAGCGUAAUACCUUGUCGCUUAAUUGGCGACUUGCAUGAAGGCCCAACGAGUGUUCUACUGCCCCCGCCAUGACGCUAGUGAAAACAAUCAGUCUGGUGCACAAUCCAGACCCCUCCAUCUGAAAGCGAAGACCCCAUGGAGUUUCACUGCAACCUGUUGUUGUUGUAAGAAUUGGCAUGUGUAGGGUAGGCGGGAGACGUUACCCAGGAAGGGGCGCUAGCAUCUCUCCGAGUCACCGAUGAAACACCGCCCUUGUCAAUUUUUACGACUCACCUCUCCGGAGGAACAGCUAUAGGCAGGCAGUUCGGGUGGGGCGCCACGCCCUCAAAAAGAUAACAAGGGCGCCCAAAGGUUAGCUCAGGUAGGUCAGAAAUCUACCGAAGAAUGUAAGGGUAUAAGCUAGCUUGACUCGGAACCAGACAAUAGGGUUCGGAGAUAGGAAACUAUGGCCUAGCGAACCAUCCAACCUCCUGAAUGGGGGUGGAUGAUGUCAGAAAAAUUACCCUGGGGAUAAUUGAGUUGUCACGAGCAAGAGUUCAUAUCGACCUCGUGGCUUGCUACUUCGCUGUCGGCUCUCCCUAUCCUGGUGGUGCAGCAGCUGCCAAGGGUGGGGUUGUUCGCCCAUUAAAAGGGAUCGUGAGCUGGGUUUAAAACGUCGCGAGACAGUUUUGUUGCUUUUUGAUGGAGGUGUUGGUACCUGAUGAGAAGGACCCUUUAGUACGAGAGGAACAGGGGUUCGUCGCCUCUAGUUUAUCAGUUGUCUGACAAGGCACGCUGAGUAGCCACGCGGCAGUGGAUAAGAGCUGAAGGCAUCUAAGCUCGAAGCCACCUUAAAAAAGAGGUACCCAUAGAACGCUCGUAAAUGACGAGUUUGAUAGAAGCCGGAUGUAAGUGCCGAGGUUCGCCGAGGUAUUCAGUCCUGGCUUACUAAAGUUCUUUGAACGUC
rnacentral:rRNA from 1 species